AUGGUCGUCACGUGGCGCGUGCAUGGCUCUGGCGGCAGACCACUAUCUGCCUGUUUCCGCAGUUGUAGAAGACGUGCGCAUGUGUGCUUUCGACAGAAGCUUGCUGCAGAUCAUUCAUGAUUCUCGAAGGGUCUGCCGGUAUUCACGAAGAGCAGAAGGCACAGGAUCUUCUUCAAACUCUUGGAAUACCUCCAAGGAAUCAAUCCGGAGCAUCAGCUAUGAAGCAUCUGAACUUUAUUUUUACUAAAUGAUUCUUGAAGUGGAUACCACCGCUGGCGAAAACCUCUUGGACUUCAUUUGUGAACAUUUUAAAGAAAUUGUUCGGAUCUUUCGGCUUACUCUUCCCAUAAUAGACACCUGCGAUAAGUAUAGAGCUAUCAGGAAUAUUUAUUAUUCAGAACUGGGUAGGCCAAUACUGAGUUGAACCGUCUUUUGCGCCAGCAGCUCCAUCAGUACUAACAUCAAUUUUUAAGAUAUUAGGUAUGGCAUAUGUGUGUUUGGAAAGUUCUUUUAAAAUUCCAGCAACAAAACUUACAUGCCAAUAUUUUCCGGGUUCAACAUCAAUCAAUUCAACGCGACGAUUGCAAGUCCCAAUCAAUAUUCUUACAUCUUCUGGACGAGAAGCCAAACAGCAA